UACGGGGGGGCAAGCGUUGUUCGGAAUUACUGGGCGUAAAGGGCUCGUAGGUGGUCAACUAAGUCAUACGUGAAAUCCCUCGGCUUAACCGGGGAACUGCGCCUGAUACUUGAUGGCUUGAAUUCGGGAGAGGGAUGCAGAAUUCCAGGUGUAGCGGUGAAAUGCGUAGAUAUCUGGAGGAACACCGGUGGCGAAGGCGGCAUCCUGGACCGACACUGACGCUGAGGAGCGAAAGCCAGGGGAGCAAACGGG
rnacentral:rRNA from 1 species